rnacentral:snRNA from 1 species
GACUGCUUAAUCCUGAAGCA